GUGGGGAAUCUUGCGCAAUGGGCGAAAGCCUGACGCAGCGACGCCGCGUGAGUGAUGAAGGCCCUCGGGUUGUAAAGCUCUGUGGGGAGGAAAGAAUAAGGGUUGGCUAAUACCCAGCUCGAUGACGGUACCUCCUUAGCAAGCACCGGCUAACUCUGUGCCAGCAGCCGCGGUAAGACAGAGGGUGCAAACGUUGUUCGGAAUCACUGGGCGUAAAGCGCGUGUAGGCGGCCGAGUAAGUCGGGUGUGAAAUCCCACGGCUCAACCGUGGAAGUGCACUCGAAACUGCUCGGCUCGAGUCUCGGAGAGGAAGGUGGAAUGCUUGGUGUAGAGGUGAAAUUCGUAGAUAUCAAGCGGAACACCGGUGGCGAAGGCGGCCUUCUGGACGAUGACUGACGCUGAGACGCGAAAGCGUGGGGAGCAAACAGGAUUAGAUACCCGAGUAGUCC
rnacentral:rRNA from 1 species